GGGAUCUCAAGGGCAAAGAUGUGUUAAAACAUAACCAAACACUCCAGGACCUUGGGAAAGAAAUCUGUAUCAGACAUGUGGGCUUCAUUAAGGGAAAUGCCUUCAGAAGAUUAUUUUUCCAUGUUAUGAGAAAAAAUCUCAACAACCACAGCAGAUGUUCCAGUGCCCAGGUGACCUAGAAGCUUCAUGUGGAGGUGAUGGAACUUCAGUAGGCCUGGAAGUGAUGCAGUAUCUUCUGCCCUCAAUGGCCUAAGAAGCCAAUUAACCAUUCCAAGCAAUAUCUAGGUGUAAGUGCAGUGAAAGUUCAUAAACUGAACACAGCAACAACAAUUAGGACAGAUCUGCUGGUCGUCAGUCCUGCCAUCCUUAAGUGAGGGACCGAUAUUUCAAUCAUCAUUCCCUUUCUUUUCAAUGACAG
rnacentral:lncRNA from 1 species